rnacentral:rRNA from 1 species
UGAGGAAUAUUGGACAAUGGGCGGGAGCCUGAUCCAGCCAUGCCGCGUGCAGGAUGACGGCCCUAUGGGUUGUAAACUGCUUUUANACGGGAAGAAACGCACCUACGUG